CCCCCGUCAAUUCCUUGAGUUUCAUUCUGCGAACGUACUCCCCAGGUGGGAUACUUAUAACUUUCGCUUAGCCACUGAACCCGAAAGCCCAACAGCAAGUAUCCAUCGUUUACGGCAUGGACUACCAGGGUAUCUAAUCCUGUUCGCUCCCCACGCUUUCGUCCAUCAGCGUCAGUUGAUGUUUAGUCACCUGCCUUCGCAAUUGGUGUUCUGCGUAAUAUCUAAGCAUUUCACCGCUACACUACACAUUCCAGCAACUUCAACAUCACUCAAGACUAACAGUAUCAAUGGCAGUUUCAUAGUUAAGCUAUGAGAUUUCACCACUGACUGAUUAAUCCGCCUACGGACCCUUUAAACCCAAUAAAUCCGGAUAACGCUUGCACCCUCCGUAUUACCGCGGCUGCUGGCACGGAGUUAGCCGGUGCUUAUUCUUCUGGUACCUUCAGCUACUCACACGUGAGUAGGUUUAUCCCCAGAUAAAAGUGGUUUACAACCCAUAAGGCCGUCAUCCUACACGCGGGAUGGCUGGAUCAGGCUUCCACCCAUUGUCCAAUAUUCCUCACUGCUGCCUCCCGUAGGAGUCUGGUCCGUGUCUCAGUACCAGUGUGGGGGUUCACCCUCUCAGGCCCCCUAAAGAUCAUCGUCUUGGUGAGCCGUUACCUCACCAACUAACUAAUCUUACGCAUGCCUAUCCUACUGCGAUAAAUCUUUCAAAAUCUAAUGAUGCCAUUAAAUCUGUUAUAAAGUAUUAAUCCUCCUUUCGAAGGGCUAUCCUUUUCAGUAGGGCAAGUUGCAUACGCGUUACGCACCCGUGCGCCGGUCUCUAGUUCCCGAAAGAACUAUACCCCUCGGCUUGCAUGUGUUAAGCCUCCCGCUAGCGUUCAUCCUGAGCCAUGAUCAAACUCAAU
rnacentral:rRNA from 1 species